rnacentral:antisense_RNA from 1 species
AUCGCGAGAUCAGGAGGGUGGCCGAGGGUGUCGCCGCGGCCAUCAGGCACUUCUCCUUCCUGCCAUCAUGUGAAGAAGGAUGUGUUUGCUUCCCCUUCUGCCAUGAUUGUAAGUUUCCUGAGGCCUCCUCAGCCCUGCGGAACUGGCUAGAGCAAUGUAUCUUAGGCUCACUUAAGGAAGCUGUAGAAAUGAGCCCAAGGAGGGAAACCAGAAGAGCCCCCCAGGCUCACCAGUUGUUUGUUGGCUCCCUACAAACAUGUCAUUCAAGUGGCUAAUCUUACAACAGCACAAAUGCAUCUAACCAGAAAGAGAAGAGGAGGCUCCAAAGGCACUUGACUACUGAGCAUCACCCUGGACGUGUACAAGUCUGCGUCCUUAUUGUUUUCUUCAUUGGGCCGAACUUUCUGGUCCUCAUCCAACAGCUCUUCUAUCACAUGUUCGAAAGUGUCAGCCAACGAUGUCAGGCCUCUUGAACCCGCCUUGGGCCCAUUCACGCUCUCCAGAGUCCCAUGGGUCCGCACACCUGGAGAUACUCUAUUAUAGCAAAGAAGAAAGAUAAUUUCAUUGAGCCAUCCUGUUUUACAGGAUUUUCCCUCCUCGUGAGUCAAAAUGAACAAGAAAUACCCCAGGACCUCCCUUCCCUCCUUGGCCAUUAAUGAGAUUAAGGCAAUUAACUCACAUAGUAUAAAUGAAUCAUUUGAGGUGAUGACUGCAUUUUAGGCAAAUGAUGACUUUCUUGGUUCCCUUGGUUUGCAAGUAAAAGUUACACACAUUGAAAAGACACUCUGAAACAGAUUUCCUAAAUGCUUCAUUUUCUGGAUACACCAAGGUUGACCUACUAUACAUGUUAAAUGGUUUUAAAAUAUCAUCUUAAAAUAAACGAAACUUCCAGCUGCUAACUCAGCUCUGAAUGGGCUAUGAAAGGCUCCAAAGGUAUGUGAAAAAUUACUGUUAUUUUGCUUUAAAAAAUGUAAUGUCUAAGAGUGUCUGCAAUGUUCUAAUGCUUCAAAACAUGUACGUAAGCCUUGUUUAUCUGGAAAUCAUUUCUUUCUGCUUAUAUCAUUUAUAAAUAGAAAAUGUUCUGUAAUAAUUUAAAAUAGUUCCACAUACAUAAUGCUUUUCGUGUCAUAAUACUUACUACUGGUCUAUAUUUACCAACAUUUAUCACAUUUUACAAAAUGAAGUAGAAGAAAAAAAAGACAACGACUUUAUGGCCCUGGAAUUCCAGUAACGGUGACCAACAUGUUUUAAAUUCCAGUAAAGGUUAUGGUUACAUUUCAACAA